GCCUGGAUGGCUCAGUGGUUGAGUGUCUGCCUUUGUCUCAGGUCAUGAUCCCGUCCUGGGAUCGAGUCCCACUUCGGGCU
rnacentral:tRNA from 1 species